UACGUAGGGGCCUAGCGUUGUCCGGAUUUACUGGGCGUAAAGAGCUCGUAGGUGGUUUGUCGCGUUGUUCGGGAAAACUCACAGCUUAACUGUGGGCGUGCGGGCGAUACGGGCAGACUGGAGUACUGCAGGGGAGACUGGAAUUCCUGGUGUAGCGGUGGAAUGCGCAGAUAUCAGGAGGAACACCGGUGGCGAAGGCGGGUCUCUGGGCAGUAACUGACGCUGAGGAGCGAAAGCGUGGGGAGCGAACAGG
rnacentral:rRNA from 1 species